GACGAACGCUGGCGGCGUGCUUAACACAUGCAAGUCGAACGGAGAGGACCUGCUAAGGUGGUCGGCUCAAGGGGCGAAAGGGUGAGUAACGCGUGAGUAAGUUGCCCGUGACCAUGGUAUAACUUCGGGAAACUGGAGCGAAUACCGGAUAGGAGCAUACGCUGUAUGGUCAGGCUGCGAAAGGUUCGGCGGUUAGGAAUGGACUGGCGUCUGAUCAGCUUGUGGGUGGGGAAGUGGCUUACCAAGGCUUUGCCUGGUAGCCGGCCUGAGAGGGUGAGAGGCCACGUUGGAGCUGAGCUGCGGCCCAGCCCACACCGGGAGGCAGCAGUGGGGAAUGUUGCACUGUGGACUGAAGCCUGCUGCAGUGACGCCGCGUGGGGUAUGACAGCAAUCGGGUUGUUAUGCGCUUUCGUCUGUGACGAAGAGUGAGUGACGGUAAUGGAUAAAGAAGCACCGGCUAACUACGUG
rnacentral:rRNA from 1 species